UUGGUGGAAGCAAGUAAAUAAUAGUAUAAUAAACAAAGAACAGUGUAUGUAAAAUAGUGUGUACAUGAGGUGAACAGUUAGUUUGUUAGUUUUGCUGCAAGCUGGCCUCUUACGGAGACCAAUGGAGCAAGACAAGCUAAAGAAAAUUGAAGAUGAUACUUUUAGGAGGGCGUUGAUCAAGUUGCACGUGGAGGAGGAGGAUCCACUAGAGUUGAGCAUAGCGGAUACUUUAAAUUCCUAUGAGUUGAGGCUGCAGUAUCUAGGGCUAGAUCUUAACUGGUUAGGGGACUCACCCGCCUGCGCCUGCACAAGUACAAGUGUUCUAAGUUGCAACCUUGCAAACUCUCCUUCCCACAUGCAGCCGUUAACUUGCUCUGAGUCAGAUACUACAUUGACAAUGCGGGCAAGGGCCAGUUCCACAGAUCAGACGGGUGAGUGGAAAUUAUUGCUCAUUAAUUUCGAUAGUGUAUGCGAAACGCACAUCCUUAAUUAUAAAGUGUUUGUUAAUGCCCUACAAUACACACGUACAUGCAUGUAAACAAAAACCCAAAUGUAACUAUAGCUAUAAGCUCAUCAUAAUUGUUUCAGUAUUUUGAAGUCCCCCAAUCCUCUUCUUCCUCCUCAGAAGUUGUUCUACCAAAAUUCUCAUCUCCUUGUCUGGGAAUGUACGAUGUUCACCAGUACGACAUAUCUUAGUAGAGUUGUCGAAUCAUAAAGAACAUUUUUUUGAGCUAGAAGAGUAUAAAAAAAAAUAAAAAAAAAAAAAUAAUAAAAAAAAAAAAAAAAAAGAUUGCUUUACAGGGCUAUAGGCAUCUUAAGUAUAAUUAUUAUAGUACACUACUGUGACACUCCCAGGGGAGUUGUUAGACAGUGAUUUUACUAGUCCUGUAUAUGACUGUGCUGAGUCAGCACUAUGUCAUACUGAUGAGUUCUAACAAGAACGAAACAGGAACAUAAUAAUUAUACAAUACAAUUUAACAGUAUAGCUGUACCCUAGCCUCGAUUCCAGGCCGAGUUUUCGCUUUUAUAACGAAUAGGCGAACAACUACACCUAUAUAUCCGUUAUAAAAGCGAAAACUCAGCCUGGGAUCGAGGCUAAGCUGUACCCUAGUGUAUGUCACAGCAUGUAGCACUGCAUGGGCUAACUUUAGAGACAAAUGUUCCGGCAGCUUACAUCACCCAGCCUAAUGAUAGUCUAUAUAUCCAUACAACGGCUACAACACAACAACUAAUCAAACUGAGAAAAAGCUCUCAAAUCUUUGAUGCAUGCAUAUACAUAGAUCUGUAUAUGGGCUAUUCAAAUUCUGCUCGGAAAUCAGCAGGUACAUCAUAAUUUAUAUAGGCCUGUUUAUUGAGCAGCCGAUGAGUUCGAGUGGUGUGGAGAAAGUCUAAGCUAGUGCCCUCAACGAAUAAUUAAGUGCAAUGCACACUAUGCCAAGCGUAGAUCUACUCUUGAGAGUCUUUGUAUCUGUAGAGGUAUAAUUAUAUACUAGUUAAAUAAUUUUGUUGCCCAGUGAGUGAGCAGAUCAAAGCAAUCCAGUGCUCAGUAUACGGCAUGUUGCAUCCUACCAUGAUUAUAUUGCACUGGGAUUAUAUGCACUUGCACUGUGUGUAAAUGCAGUAGUUUUCUAGCCUCCUUCGCAGCCUCUCCUUUUUCUGUUCUUUGUCACACAGGUAAGAAUUGGAGGAACAAAGAAAGAAAGAACUUGUUCCUCCAAUUUUAUCUUAUUGACCUGACCUAUGUGACAAGAAUAGAAAAAGGAGAGGCUGCGAAGGAGGCUAGUAGGAGAUAUUAUCUAUUUGGGACUUACGCCCCACCAACCAUGCACCCAAUAACUCAUUUGGUCCCUUUUAUAGGCUACUACUUUUAGCACUAUAGCUAGAAGUGCAUGGGAAGAAAACCUAAAAAUUUACUAUGGAAUUCAGCAAAACUAAUGAAUUCCUUCAAAACACAUGUAUAUUUAUAUGACCAGUCAGACGAGUUUAACGUCAUUGCACUCUGCAUGGCUGGGCAAUAACUAAUACCAGAGUUGGAGUUCAGUACAAACAACAGCUUGCGCCGCCAUGCAUGCAUAUAGCCCAAUCUUUACAUCAUCCACUUUAGCACCAUGGUAACAGACAAGUGGAGUCGAUGUUUCAGCCAUUCCUGAUGAGUUGAAUGAAGGCCUCUAGAAUGGAAAACGUUUCUGUGAGGAGAAGAACAGAGCAUUACUAAACGUAUACUAUACAUUUUAAAUUUCAAUGUUGGCGUAUCUAUGCCAACUAUAUAAUUAUAUAUUGCGUACUAGCUGCA